rnacentral:rRNA from 1 species
UACGUACUGGCAUCGUCGGUUUCUCCCUUCUGACGAACCAUGAUGUCAUUUAUUUGGUGUUGUGGGGAAUCAGGACUGUUACUUUGAAAAAAUUAGAGUGUUUAAAGCAGGCUCACGCUUGAAUACAUUAGCAUGGAAUAAUGAAAUAGGACGUUUGAUUCUAUUUUGUUGGUUUCUAGGAUCGACGUAAUGAUUAAUAGGGAUAGUUGGGGGCAUUAGUAUUCAAUUGUCAGAGGUGAAAUUCUUGGAUUUAUUGAGGACUAACUACUGCGAAAGCAUUUGCCAAGGAUGUUUUCAUUAAUCAAGAACGAAAGUUAGGGGAUCGAAGACGAUCAGAUACCGUCGUAGUCUUAACCAUAAACUAUGCCGACUAGGGAUCGGAUGAUGUUAAUUUUUUAAUGACUCAUUCGGCGCCUUACG